AUACUUAUAGCCUAGUGGUUAAGGUUUUAGUCUUAUAAGUGGAAGGUCAAGGGUUCAAUUCCCAUUUGUUGUG
rnacentral:tRNA from 1 species